rnacentral:rRNA from 1 species
AACGAACGCUGGCGGCAUGCCUAACACAUGCAAGUCGAACGAGACCUUCGGGUCUAGUGGCGCACGGGUGCGUAACGCGUGGGAAUCUGCCCUUCGGUUCGGAAUAACUCAGGGAAACUUGAGCUAAUACCGGAUAAUGACGUAAGUCCAAAGAUUUAUCGCCGAAGGAUGAGCCCGCGUAGGAUUAGCUUGUUGGUGGGGUAAUGGCCCACCAAGGCGACGAUCCUUAGCUGGUCUGAGAGGAUGAUCAACCACACUGGGACUGAGACACGGCCCAGACUCCUACGGGAGGCAGCAGUGGGGAAUAUUGGACAAUGGGCGAAAGCCUGAUCCAGCAAUGCCGCGUGAGUGAUGAAGGCCUUAGGGUUGUAAAGCUCUUUUACCCGGGAUGAUAAUGACAGUACCGGGAGAAUAAGCUCCGGCUAACUCCGUGCCAGCAGCCGCGGUAAU